CACGUAGGGCGCAAGCGUUGUCCGGAAUUAUUGGGCGUAAAGAGCUCGUAGGCGGUCUGUUGCGUCCGCUGUGAAAACCCGGGGCUUAACCCUGGGCUGGCAGUGGAUACGGACAGACUAGAGGUAGGUAGGGGAGAAUGGAAUUCCCGGUGUAGCGGUGAAAUGCGUAGAUAUCUGGAGGAACACCGGUGGCGAAGGCGGCAUCCUGGACCGGUAUUGACGCUGAGGCGCGAAAGCUAGGGGAGCAAACGGG
rnacentral:rRNA from 1 species